rnacentral:lncRNA from 1 species
UUUAUUCAAAAACGACCUUGAUCAUAUGACACAUACAUGCAAUUCAAUCAAUCACAAAAAUUCAGGCAAAAUCACUCAUGCUUUCAAGUAGAUAGCAAGUAUAUCAAUAAGAACUCUGGAGCUCAAAAACCUCACACAAGCUUAUUCCAACAUCUAGAAGAAUACCCUUCUUAGCCUCAUAAUCACAAUCACAAAAUCACAAUGUGUCUGUUCACGUAGCUAGUGAACACUCCACCUGCAUAUCAACAUAUGGCAAUCUCAAUCAUCGUUCAACAACAAACAUCAUCAAGUAACUAUCUCAUGCAGUCAAAAAGUUAAACCAUCAUAACAAAAAAGUUUCAGACCAAGUACAUUAACCAACACUACUCAAUAGAAGAAAACCUAUACUAAGAAUUCAAAUCACAAAACAAAAGAUAAGAAAAUCCUGCUCUAAUGCAAGUAGUCCAUCAGUAGAUGCUAUGUAACUCCUCAUCCCAUGCUGUCAUCAUAGUCCUUCUCUUCUCAUUUUUCUACAUCUUCAAAAAUCAUCAUCCUCAUCAUCUUCCUCCAUAGCUGGAGCUUCAGCUGCUCCAACUCUGAUUCCUUCCUCUUGUUCCCCACAGUCUUGAUCCUCUUUCUUGAUGAGGAGGCCAUCCCUGCAC